CUGGCCUACGGGACGCAGCAGUGAGGAAUAUUGGUCAAUGGGCGGGAGCCUGAACCAGCCAAGUCGCGUGAGGGAAGGCGGUCCUAUGGAUUGUAAACCUCUUUAGGCGGGGAGCAAUGCCGGGCACGUGUGCCCGGAGGGAGAGUACCCGCAGAAUAAGUAUCGGCUAACUCCGUGCCAGCAGCCGCGGUAAUACGGAGGAUGCGAGCGUUAUCCGGAUUUAUUGGGUUUAAAGGGUGCGUAGGCGGAUUUUUAAGUCAGCGGUAAAAUGUCCGGGCUCAACCCGGGCCGGCCGUUGAACCUGG
rnacentral:rRNA from 1 species